GGAGAGCUGUAGCUCAGUGGUAGAACAUCUGUGUUUCAUGCAGAAUGUCCCAGAUUCAAUCCCCAGCAUCUCCA